rnacentral:rRNA from 1 species
GAUGAACGCUGACAGAAUGCUUAACACAUGCAAGUCUACUUGAAUUUGGGUUUUUUAACUUAGAUUUGGGUGGCGGACGGGUGAGUAACGCGUAAAGAACUUGCCUCACAGCUAGGGACAACAUUUGGAAACGAAUGCUAAUACCUGAUAUUAUGAUUAUAAGGCAUCUUAGAAUUAUGAAAGCUAUAUGCGCUGUGAGAGAGCUUUGCGUCCCAUUAGCUAGUUGGAGAGGUAACGGCUCACCAAGGCGAUGAUGGGUAGCCGGCCUGAGAGGGUGAACGGCCACAAGGUGACUGAGACACGGCCCUUACUCCUUCGGGAGGCAGCAGUGGGGAAUAUUGGACAAUGGACCAAGAGUCUGAUCCAGCAAUUCUGUGUGCACGAUGACGUUUUUCGGAAUGUAAAGUGCUUUCAGUUGGGAAGAAAAAAAUGACGGUACCAACAGAAGAAGUGACGGCUAAAUACGUG